rnacentral:misc_RNA from 1 species
CGCUGGUAUCCAAAACUUGCUAUCGAGAGGGUCUUCGUGUGCUCUGUGGCUUCGCUGUCCACAAAUAAGAAGAGUCAGGGGCGUGGGACAAAAGGUUUCAGGGGUUGUUUGGAAAAUUAGGGGCCUCACUGCAGAUGCGCUGCUUGCACGGUGCGCUGAGCGCUGCGGGCGAGCGCCCAACACUACUGCACUCGUUACGCAACCGAGACGCCGUUACUCGGUGAAACCGAGAACAAGUUCACUCGUUUGAUUGUCCGUAGUGUUGGCGAGUUGUGACGCAUCAGGUAGCUGUGUUCUUGUGGGGUUAGCAAAGGGCGAGUGGCUGCUUUUCUGGGACGAAUGGGCAGACCGGUGGUGUCUGUUUCCGGAGCGAUGCUCGCUCUGUGACAGUGCGCGCUACUCACAGCGCGACGCUGACUGGCAGAACGUGCAGCAGCUGGGAUACCUGUAUACUAUGGAUUACAGUGUGUAGUUGGAUAGGGCUUCCCGCCUUGAUCCGCGCUGCUUUCUGACUAAUGUCGGCGGCGUGCGCUGGAGCACGCUCUACCGAAUACAGAUCAGACAGCAGCGAAGCUUCUCAAUGCGUAGAGGCGCCUGUAACUUGAAGCGCGUUACAUUCUCGAGCGCGGAGUAGGAACGGCGGUGUUGUCAGGUUUGAAGGAAAGCAAACUUUCGUUUUUCGUUUUUGGUGCUUGUGGCUGCUGUUGGAACAGAAAAUGGAAUGAUCGUCGAGGACGAUUUAACUCGGAUGACGACUCCAAGCUUCAUCCUUGCGUGCGACGCUCGGCCGCAUACGAACCAAGGUGAGCGCGCAGUACCGGCCCGUGCUGAAUCGCGUAGCCACGGUUGCAGCGCUUGAUACGCUGACAUUCGUCCAGCGACUUCAGAGGCAUCACGGAUGAAGCGCAGGCACCUGUUGACGGCUCUGCAUGCGAGGCGAUGGUCUCGGGACAAGGGCGGCUUUCUGGAGAAUCUCGCAAGAGACAUGAUUCAAGCAGCAAUGAGGAACCUCUGAGAAAGGCGUCCAGCGCCACGAACGUUGUUACUGAUGAAUCUGGGAGUUUGCGCACGGCUCGAUACUCGUUGGCGGCCCUCUUUCUGUGGAACGUAUAGAGGGCCGCUUCCAAAGCGUUCAUUCGAAGCCAAGAACAAGUACGUGCAGGUUUCGCUACCGCCCGGAGCAUAUCGCUCACGAUUUACGAGGAACGCGGUCGAUAGAUCACUGCAUACAACGCGAGAGCAUUCAAUACGAAAGGGCUGCUCCAUUCAAAUCCCCAAAGAGAACCAGGUAAACAAGCACUGUGCAGUUGCAGAUCGGUUAUUGACGCCUAGUGCAGGAAUCGAACCAGGUCUGGGCAGGAUGCUCUUGCGCAGCACAUGAGCCGCUACACAAUGCUCCCUGCGAAGCAACCGACUCUACCUCUUCGAUAUAGACGACGCGCAGUAGCAGGCAUUAUCUAUGCAUGGAGUCAGAAUGCUCCUGAUGGUCGGAUACUGGGCAUUCGAAGGCGCCAACCUGCGUCUAUGUGGUGGCAGGCUGCUGACUUAGCCGCUACGCCUAUCGUCGACCAGGAUGCCGCCAUGACGCUGUGUGGAAACGCAUUUGCGCAUGUAAACAAGUCAAGGCCACAGCGUUGUACAGGGCUAUGGUUCCCGAACCUGGUUCCAGCGAGUGCCAGAGCCAGAGCGUCCGGUAGCUUAGUAUGCAGUGAGGAGGUUCUCGGGCGUUACGGUUAUGGUCGCCACGAGGCCUCUGUGGUGUUUGCAGCGAGAGUCUGGGUAUCGUGGACGACCACGUGCGCCCUGGCCGCUCAUUAUCCACUGAUGGAUAGCAUACGGUGCCGACUUGGGAAUGAAUUGGUACCGGUCCAAGUACCGAACAUUCGCGUGCAACCUAAAAUUUGCGUCCCGUUCCCCUGCCUCCAGAAACCACCGACUGCUUACGAUGGAGUUGGACAGACAUGAGAGACCGGCGUUUGCAAAGCUAGAUAUAGCUGGGAGGACAAUAAACCAGUCGCAGAAUAAGCUCGCAAACGCCGGCGUUGAUCGCAACCGGAACAGACGCAAAGUUUUGCGUGUACCCCCCGAGUAAACGAAG